GCCAGUUUGGCUCAGUGGAUAGAGCGUUGACCUGUGGACUGAAGGGUCACGGGUUCGAUUCCGGUCAAGGGCA
rfam:Myotis brandtii contig292062, whole genome shotgun sequence.